rnacentral:lncRNA from 1 species
UGAUUGCAGUAGUAGCUCCAUUGCUCGCAUCUUGUUCCACCUCUUAUCUCGCUCUCCCCUCGCCCACCACCCACCAGCCGCCUCCACUGCCACUGAGUACUGAUGAAGCUUCAACCAUCGCCCGAUAUGCCGUGUACAGCUCCGUCCAUCGCAUGAAUCAGCUUCACAACCCGGUUCAGUCUUGCUGUCGUCCGCUGCAGAUCGAGCUGCUCCCUCGACUCCGCUGCAGAUCCCGUAGUUUCCAUCAGGUACUCUGUUCUGAGCCAGAGAGUUCAUCACACGCACAGAUGUGUUCCGAAUAAGCUUUGGCUUUAGAUUAGAUGCUUGCCUGCAGUUUUAGCAGUUUUAUAGAGAAAAGUUUUCGCCUGCCAUGUGUUCGACAGAUUGUCCCACCGCCAACUAGAGGCCGAGA